rnacentral:piRNA from 1 species
UGGACAUGAUCAGGUGAAAUUGUAGA